UACGUAGGGUGCAGGCGUUAAUCGGAAUUACUGGGCGUAAAGCGUGCGCAGGCGGCUUUGCAAGACAGAUGUGAACUCCCCGGGCUUAACCUGGGAACUGCAUUUGUGACUGCAUGGCUGGAGUGUGGCAGAGGGGGAUGGAAUUCCGCGUGUAGCAGUGAAAUGCGUAGAUAUGCGGAGGAACACCGAUGGCGAAGGCAAUCCCCUGGGCCUGCACUGACGCUCAUGCACGAAAGCGUGGGGAGCAAACAGG
rnacentral:rRNA from 1 species